GAUGAACGCUGGCGGCGUGCCUAAUACAUGCCAGUCGAGCGAACAGAUGAGGAGCUUGCUCCUCUGACGUUAGCGGCGGACGGGUGAGUAACACGUGGAUAACCUACCUAUAAGACUGGGAUAACUUCGGGAAACCGGAGCUAAUCCCGGAUAAUAUAUUGAACCGCAUGGUUCAAUAGUGAAAGACGGUUUUGCUGUCACUUAUAGAUGGAUCCGCGCCGCAUUAGCUAGUUGGUAAGGUAACGGCUUACCAAGGCAACGAUGCGUAGCCGACCUGAGAGGGUGAUCGGCCACACUGGAACUGAGACACGGUCCAGACUCCUACGGGAGGCAGCAGUAGGGAAUCUUCCGCAAUGGGCGAAAGCCUGACGGAGCAACGCCGCGUGAGUGAUGAAGGUCUUCGGAUCGUAAAACUCUGUUAUUAGGGAAGAACAAAUGUGUAAGUAACUAUGCACGUCUUGACGGUACCUAAUCAGAAAGCCACGGCUAACUACGUG
rnacentral:rRNA from 1 species